AUCCACAGGCCACACCUGUCCCGAGAGUGUUGGGAAGAGGUACCCGCACUCCCUUCCCACCCUCCUUCCUCCUUCCAUGGCCAAUGAACGAUGCAUCACCUUCUGAGAAGCCUCCCUUGGACCCCGGAAAUAUCAGUCUCUGGCCUUCCACACAUGGCUGGCACCACUGGGGCCUCACCGCAGGCCUCGUUCCAAUCCCCAGCUGCUGUUGGUUUCCCUGGCCCCUUUGGCAUUCAAGCAGCAGACACAAGCAUGCCAGGUAGUACAGGCUCAAGAUAUGUCCACUGAAUAAGUGAAUGACAGCUGCUAAAGCUAACACACAUUCAUUCAUUCAGCCCAUCACAACUGAGCCCCUACCACAUCCUUGGUGCCGUGUGGAUGGACAGGUUAGCGCAGGGACAGGCGGUGCUUAGAAAGGGCUCGUGCAGGACUCCGAUGGCUCACCCUGGGUGGAAGCGUGUGUUCUAUGGUUGCUAUAUGCAGGGCCCUGUGCUGAGAACCUGAUAGGCAGCUUCUCACUGAGUUCCUAUAAUGGUUCUAUGGGAAAGGUGAUCUUAUAGACCCAUUUUAUGGGUGAGGAAACUGAAGUUUACAGAGGUGAAGUGAGUUUCCCAGGACGAAGACAGUUUGAAUAUCCUGGGUCUGACUCCAGACCAUGUCCUUUAACUAGAAGGGGAUCUGACUGUGCCCUUCGACAGUGGGUGACCUGCUAAGUGCAAAGUGAGGACAAUGAAAUAGCUACACCCUCAUGGUGGUGGGGGUGGUGAGGGCGAGGCAAUGGUACCUGGAUAGCUGGGUCCAGGACCUGGCCAGAGUUGGUGCUAGGUGUCGAGUGGACAGUAUGAUGGUAUUAUUUUGCAUUUGGGCACUGAGCAUGGAUGUCUGGGAUGGGAAGAUGCCUUAGGAGGGCAGGGGGUGGAAACCAGGGGAGGAUCGCACUCUUUCUGUCCCUUGAGAAUGUUCCCUGUAUAUCACAGAAUGGUUUCCCAAGUUGGGAGCAAGUAGAGAAGGCAGAGUCAGAAUUCAACAUAGCUUGUCUCCGAAUUGGACAUGGGGACUGGGGAAGAAGGGAUCCCUGUUCCUGGAUGUCUGGGACAGAGACCCGAGGAGAGGGUCACAGGGGUCAGUAGGUCCAGCCUAGGAUGGUGGUGUAGUCUCUUGCAGGGCAGGGCACAGGGCUGAUUUGUAAACUCAACUCAACUCAACUCAAAGAGUGAGCCCCGGUGACUGCUCCUGUGUCCCUCUUCCUGCCAGGGCUGGGACGAGGUGGAAUUGUGAUGCCCACUUGACUGAUGAGGACUAUGAAGCUCAGGGCAGGAUGGGAGCUCGGGACCUCACAUUCUCACCUAAGACUCUUCCAGCUCCCUCGACAGUAUGGGGGGAAACCGCUCCUAUGAUUAAUUAUCUCCCACCGGGUCCCUCCCAAAACAUGUGGGAUUUGUGGGAGCUACAAUUCAAGAUGAGAUUUGGGUGAGGACACAGCCAAACCAUAUCAGGACCCAAGUCCAGUUCUGUUCAUGAACUGGUCCUGCCUGCAGGGGGGCCUUUAAGCAGAGCAAUGGCGCAGCCAGGAACUCCCAGGAUGGCUUUGAUGUCAAAUAUUCCCUGCCUCUAUCCCGAUUCUUUAUUCAAAGCAUGUAGUCUCUGUAUUAUCUGUACAUGUUUUAGAACCCCAAAGCUCUAAAGCCCCGCUCCUUUCUGUUGAUUUCCAGAGGAUGAAGCCCCAUUCCUUCCAAGUGGCUACCCUGGGAUCAGCCACCAGAGGCUAAACUUCAGAAAAAGACUGCAGAGAAGGGCUACAGGUAGGGGAGGACAUCUGGUAAACAGGGAACAACUAAGUGGAAAUAUAUUCAGCCUUAAUUAAUACUGAAAACAAAACAAAACACAUAAGUUCAGUAAUACUUGCCCAUUAAACCAACAAAAGUAAGUACAAUUGUUAAAACUAAUGAUUGCAGGGUUGUAGAGAACCUGGUGAAAUAGCUUAUUCCUCCCAUAUAA